rnacentral:snoRNA from 1 species
UCCCAUGAUUCCAUGGGGCAUGUCUCCAGUGGCAUUGUCCCUUCCUAGUCAUGGAAAAGGGUUUGCUUUCUUUUUAAUGUAGCUGUGUCCACCAUGUUGGAAUCAGUUCUCUAAAAUAAAGCGACAGUG